rnacentral:rRNA from 1 species
AGUGAACGCUGGCGGCAGGCCUAACACAUGCAAGUCGAACGAACUCUUCGGAGUUAGUGGCGGAUGGGUGAGUCACACGUGGGAACGUUCAUUUUGGUUUGGAAUACCUCUGGGACACUUGUGAUAAUACCGAAUGUGCCCUUCUGGGGAAAGAUUUAUCGCCCUUAGAGCGGCCCUCGUCUGAUUAGCUUGUUAGGACGGUAACGGCUGACUAAGGCGCCGAUCAGUAGCUGGUUAGAGAGGCUGACCAGCGACACUGAGAGGCAGACGCGGCCCGGAAUCUUACGGAAGGGAGCAGUGGCGAAUCGUGCACAAUGGCGUGAAGCAUGAAGGAGCCAUGCUGCGAGAAUGAUGAAGGUCGUAGAAAAGUAAAAUUCUUUCAACGAGGACGAUAAUGACGGUACCCGAAGAAGAAGCCCCGGCUAACUUCGUG